UAACAGUAACAAUCUUUUAUUUUUUUAAUCUAAAGUGGUGGGGCUGUGUGGUAAGAAGUUUGCUUCCCAACCACAUGCUUCCAGGUUCAGUCCCACUGUGUGGUUUUUCGAGCAAGUGUCUUCUACUAUAGCCUUAAUCCAACCAAACCUUUGCGAGUA